rnacentral:rRNA from 1 species
GUGAAACCGUUCAGGGGUAAACCUGAGAAACCCGAAAGAUCGAAUGGGGAGACUCAUCGUCAGCGCGGUUGGCUUCCGUGCGGUUCGCGAUGUUUGAGGCGGUAUUAACGUACCUGCCGACGACACGCGUCCGCCUGCGGUAUGUCCGGCCACGUCGGCGUGCACUUCUCCUCUAGUAGAACGUCGCGACCCGCUGGGUGCCGGUUUAAGGGCCGAGAUCGUCGACUGUUCCGUCGCUUCGGCGCACGGUAACAGACGCUCGGUUUUCCCGACCGGCUGCUCGGCGGUAAGCACAAGGUAUUUGGCCGCAAUUCGAAUGCGUUCAGACCCGUCGCAAGCUUGACCUGAUUUUUGAAUUUGAAUCCCGGAGUGCGGACUUUGCGCCGUCCCCGGGCCUGGUCGGCUGUUGGCCGACGGUGCUCUCGAACUGGCUUAAAUUUACCGGUCGGCGACGCUAUUGCUUUGGGUACUUUCAGGACCCGUCUUGAAACACGGACCAAGGAGUCUAACAUGUGCGCGAGUCAUUGGGACAUUAAAACCUAAAGGCGCAUUGAAAGAGAAGAUCGACCUAGCGUCGAUCGAGGGAGGAUGGGCCGCGUUUAGAUGCGGCUCCGCACUCCCGGGGCGUCUCGUUCUCAUUGCGAGUUGAGGCGCACCCAGAGCGUACACGUUGGGACCCGAAAGAUGGUGAACUAUGCCUGGUCAGGACGAAGUCAGGGGAAACCCUGAUGGAGGUCCGUAGCGAUUCUGACGUGCAAAUCGAUCGUCGGAACUGGGUAUAGGGGCGAAAGACUAAUCGAACCAUCUA